rnacentral:lncRNA from 1 species
UUUUUUAAUAUUUUCCCCUUGGGCAAUCCAAGCUAUUUCAUAGCCUCAAAUGUGACCUGUAUAUGGCUGACUUCCAAAUUUAUAUACUAGCCAUCAUCUCUUUCCAGAACUGUAUUUCUGAUAACCUACUUGUCAUUUCUAACUUAGAUGUUUAAAGAAAAUGUUUGAUCAGUCCAAAACGGGAUUAUCUUUUCCUCAAAAUCAUUGUCUUGGUUGAAAUUCUUUAUUUUGUGUAAUGGAAUCAUGGCAGUGAUAAUAAUGAUCUUCUACGAUAAUAAUAAUAAUAAUAAUAAUAAUAAUAAUAAUAUCAAGGAGAAACAUUUAUUCAACAUUUACAAUAUUCCAGGCACCAUUUUAAGAGGACUGCAUAGAUUAAUUCAUUAGUCCUCACAAAAAUCUGAUGAGUUAAAAAUAAUUAGUAUACUUGUUUUAUAAGUUAAAAAAUUAGGCACAAAGAGUUUGAGCAAAUUGCCCAAGGUCACACUGAUAAAAUAAGUGGUGAAACUAGCUUUAAAAUCUCAAUGCAAAGUCUGUUUUUAUCUUUUAUUAUUUAUUUAUUUAUUUUUAACUACAAUUCUAUGGUUCAAAGCUAAAAACAUCAGAGUCAUCCCUGAGUCAUUCCUUCCUCUUACAUCACUAAAUCAUUUACCAAGGCCUGUCAAUUUGGUAUCUUAUAUAUACUUAGUCAAUGUCCUUCUUAUCACCUCUACUACUGCUUUAUUUUUUCAAGUAAUCAUCAACUCUCAAAGAGUGGCAAAGACUUAAGAUCUCUAAUAUUUUAUUGCUUCAAUGAUUCCUUCAGCAUAGCCAGGCAUGAUACAAUCAUUCCUAAUUUUAAAAUCUUUCCUUAGCUUUUUGUUUCCUAUAGAAUACAAUUCAAGCUCUUUGGCAUAGUACACAAGAUCUUUUAUAUUCUAAAGUUGUUUUCUAUUUCCAGACAUAUCCCACUUGCUCCUCAACUCUACUACAAACAUAUGCUCACAGUUGUACUGAAUUAUUUAUCCUUACCUAAACAUAUAUGUACAUAUGCAUAUGUAUGUGUAUAUAUGUGUAUAUAUAUGUGUGUGUGUAUAUAUAUAUAUUCACAGCCUAAUGGAAAAAAAUACAUACAUAUACACAUAUAACCCUAACCAUUGGGCUAAGAAUUUCUCAAUGGAAAGAUUGUAUAGUAUUCAUUAUAUAUUUUUUACCUUAAAACAUAUAAUAUCUCACACUUCACAGUUACUUGAUGUGUUUUGGUUGAAAAGAUGAAUGAAGGAAGAAUGCAAUGAAAGAAGGACCUAAAAGCUUUAGGUAACCAUAUUUUAUGGUCCCUGAUGUUCAUUAACCCAGAUCAGCCUCUCUUACAACUGAAAGAGGAUGAGUAUGAAAGAUGCAGGAAUUGGGCAAUUCUGGAAUGUGUACACUAUACUCAGCCACCUUAAAUACAGACUAGAAAUGUUUUUGCUAUUUUUAUACUCUAAGUAAUGUCAUUAUAAAGUAGUUCUGGAAAUAUAUACUUGUAUUAGUUAUACAAAGAUUUCCCCCAUAUGCUUUUAGCUUAUAAUUACUGCGGGUUUGCUUUCCAUUCGAGGAAGCAGGUCUAUGGAAGUUAAAUGGAUUCCAAAUUCACCAUCAUGGUUGGAACAUAGAAGAACUUGUUAAAUUAAAUUAGGAGAAUGGUGGUCUCUUUUUACAGUAAUUUAGGAGUGGUGAUGGGCAUAAAUGACUACAGGUGACAAUAAAGCUAUCAGGAUCAAAUGAUACUGUGAUUCAACAGGCCACACGUGUCAGGGACAAUAGGCGUAGAAGCGAUUGCUCUGCUUGUUAGAAUCUCUAUGCCUAUAUUAAAAUAAUUUUGAGUAUUAUUCUCCUCAGUUAUAGUCUUUAUUUGAAUUUCUACCCUACUGAUCCUUUGAACAUGCAUUUUAAUGUGAAUCUUACUAAACCACUUUUAGGUAAUAGAUAGGGCAUAAAAUUAUUCUAAGUGGAAAGAAAAAGAAACUAAAACUCAGCCAAAUCAAUUAACUUUCUUAAUUAUUUUCUUACUAUAAGGUAUUUAUUGAACUAAACAAAAUCAUCACUCAAAAAAUCAAGGUUAUAUAAUUCUAAAUAAGGUGGCAAUGACCCAAGUCAUUUAGCUGCACAAACAUCUGGCAGGUGAAAUGACAGCAUCUAAAUCAUACAUCAGCUAUGAUGAGAAAAAUAAAAUUUUUGGACUAGAACAGUUGCUUGAUAAAUGUAUCCUACUUUUUGUUCAAUGUUUACUUUUGAUAAAUGGCCAGACUUUGCCAUGACUUUGCCUUGACAUUUAUCUCACAGUCAGUGGCCAUUAUCUUGUGACAACACUCUAUUUCUUUCUGUUAUCUUGCAACUUGUAAAGAUUUCCAAUCAAUUUUGUAAUUUAUGACAUACAAAGCCAAACUUUCAAAUAAAGUAUUUCAGGCAUAUGGUUUAUAAUUGAAAUUAAAAAAUAAUAGACUUACAGCAGUUUUUGUGGCUGUUGUUUACAUAUAUAUUACAUACGUACAGGAAAAAUGUUGUGGAAAGCAAAGCAAACACUAACAUUUUUAAAAAUUCAAAUUUCUUUAAAUUGUAUAUAAAUUACUGAGGUUUUAGACUUGGAGCUCAAAGAGGCACAACAAUAUUUUGCUCAUUAACAUACUGAUCACAUCCCAUUUUAUUAGAUGGAGUAGCCACCAUUGCCAAUUCCUUAGAGUACUGAGCAAGUUGCCAGGAAUAUAUAAGCAUUGGCAUUCCCCUCAUUGAACAUAUUUUUUCCUUCCCUAUGUUUUGCUACUCUUGUGGCAAUAGGAAUCUUCCCAGAGCAUACUAGAAAUGACAGAAUUGCAAGGCAAAUCAUCUAAGAGAGUAUUUUUUGUUUUGAUAAUUCGUUUUAAAACAUUUCAUCUGAGCAACGAGAUAAUGAAUUGUACUAGUAACACCUGGACUAGUUCUCUAUGUCCGAUUUAAUUGCUCUAUUUUUAGAUGAGGAAACUCAAACCUGGAACUUCUUUAUAACUUUUCUAAGUCUAUUUAGAUUAAAAAAAAAAACACUCAUGUGAUAGUAAUCUUUUCCAUAAACACCUAAACCAAUGUUCUUUCUAUUGAUCAUUUUUCAUAGAAGUUACGUGGAAUACUUGAUAAAAAUACAGACUUCUUGAUUCUCCAAAUCUGGGAUGAGGCCAAGGAACCUACAUUUUACAGUCUAGAAUAUUCUGAUGUCUAGGGCAUUCUGAUGUAGCCAAACUAAGAACAUAUUUUGAGAACAGUUGUCCUAUGCCCACAUUUCUUCAUAAAUAUAUUGCUUUGAUUACAUACUAGAUAUCUCAAUGAUGCGAUUUCAUAGCCAUUCAGCUUUAAGAAUAUCUAAUGCAGAUUGAAAUGGGAAGGAGAUGGAGGUGUGUAUCUGUGUGUGUAUGCGUGUGUGUGUACAUGUUUGUUAAGGUGAAAACUAAAGAUGAAGAAUGCCUUUGGUAGGAACUUGGUCACAAAUAAGCUGAAAGCAUCAUAGAAUAUUAAUCAAAUUGAUUCAAGACCCAGACAUUUUUAUAUAUAAUAACUACUUUUUGCAUACAUAUUUUUUGGAAUGUAGAUAAGUGUGCAUGCUGGGAGCCAAUGAAAAGUUACUUCAAAGGGGAGGGAGACCUUAUGCCAACUUCUCCCAUAGGAGGUGAAAAGACUGCUAGAAGCUCCUUGCUAUAAUGAUGCCAUCCACAUCUUCAUUUUUUCAUUGCCGUCCUUACCAUGCACUCACGUGCCAGUUCCAGACCAUUUGGACAUUGCCAAUAAGGGAUGAUCAAUCCUCAGAGGAAACAUGCGUCACUUUCCACAUGAUCCUGUAUGAUGCUUUCUGUGAACUCCAUUCAGCACUCAUCUCUAGCAGACAGGUGGUGCUGUGGUGGUCAUCUCUUAGAAAACUUGUUUUCCGGGGAGCUAUGAGACCAUAGUCAAAUAUCAUGGUGAUCACAUUAAUAGUGAGGUGUAGGAUGAGUUCUCUGUCAUAGACAGCAGGUAUGGACCAGCAACUUCUUCAGUAGUGGAUUACCCAAGCUAACAAUAACAUGAAGUAAUUGUUUCACUUUGAUGCCAGUAUUUCUGGAUCUUUACACCCAAAUUCGUUGUGCAUUUGGCAGCAAUUGUACCUUAUAAAUUGGAAAUGGAUCCAGAUAUGCAGCAAUUCUGUUAGUGUAACCAAGAGUUUGCAAGUUUAAAUAUUCAAGUCAUACCAUUGUCUCACUUUGAG